rfam:Triticum urartu cultivar G1812 contig97215, whole genome shotgun sequence.
GCCCGGUUAGUUUAAUGGUUAAAAUAGCAAUCUCAUACGUUGUUUAUAUAAGUUCAAAUCUUAUACCAGGCU